CACGUCCCUGCGGGCAGAACGAGCUGGGGAUGAGCGAGGGGGCAGGGAGAGCAUCACCGAGCGGGCUCACAGCUCCACCGGGCGCUGCGCACCUACCGGCGGGCUGGUGCAGCCGCAUCAGGUGCAGUCGUAUUUCACAACAAGAAGAGUCACCCCAGGCUUAAUUCAGGCCUAGGAAACCUCCAGGAAACCUUCACUGCUGUUCAUCUAUGCUGAGGAAAACCAUCCUGCAUCCUGACCUGUCCUGUCAGACACAGAUCACUGUCUUGUUAAGACUGUUCAGCGAGGAGCAGUUUCUCCUGGAUGGGCCACUGGGUGAGCAGAAGAUUUGGAACCACAGCAAAGCUGGGCUGUGCUUCACACACAUCUAUAGGGCAGAAGAAGGAUGGGAGAAACCAAGCUGUCAUCGCCAUAUCAGGCAACACGCGAAGGGUCAUACCCAGCGCAAGGAACUGGGAGGUGCGUGGGUGGGGCUGAGCACUGCACAUCCAUUUCUGUGCAGCACGGGAUCAAAUCCCUCUUACUGCCAUUGGCCUGAAAUUCCGACAAGGCUUCCUCUUCCCAGGUUGAAUCUUUUUUGGGAUUGAAGAUCAGGAAGUCUGUAUUGGUACCACCAAACCUCAGGUAUCCUGGGGAGAGCCCGCUGGCCAGAGUGUGCAGCUUGGGGUGUCUGUGGAAGGUAAAUGAAAUGCCAGGGUCGUCUCCCACAUGGAGGCAAAGCAUCAGCAGCAUUCAGAGAGACACCUUGCAGCAGAGGAUCUGAGACACCCAUCCCGUCAAAAUGUGGGCUUCAAGCUGGCUGUGCACUGUUUCUCCCUAUUUCCAUGGACAACCACCAAAUGGAUGGAUUUUGUUCCAAAGCGAGAGCAUGUAUGGAAUGAGUAUUCAAAGUAGAGCAGACGUUGUGCAGGACAUGCAGUUCCAGUGCUAUCUGGGAUGGCAGCAGCCCUAUCUCACCCUGUGGGGACACUCAGCAGAUACAGGGCCACCAAGCACUUCCUGGUGUCAUUGCAGCUGCCUGCCUUCAGAUAAAGCUGGUUUUUGCCUUACAGCUUUGGAGCAAUGGGGCAGGGCUAGAACUUGGGAUCAGGAGGGCGAAAAGGAAAGAAAUUAAAAGGCUUUAGGAAAAACAAAGCAAAACACAAAAAGUUGAAUCCAAAGGAGAAGAGAACAAAGAAAUAGAGCUGAAAGAACGUGACCGGAGUCCAUCACCUGGAAGCCCUGAGCUGGGAUUUGCUCACAGGCAGAAAAAGGCUUUGAUUGUAGCAGCUACUUGUUCACCUCUACGUGCAGCAGAAGCUCUCUGGCAUUCACUGGGGCUCACAGCACCCAGAGCCCUGCUAAGCAUCCACAGAGCCGCACCGAGGCUCAUGCUGCCUCUCUCCCAGCCAGCAACAUCAUCCCCUGCCAGCGUCUCGCACCAGCACCUGGCAUCCUCUCACCCGUUCCCCCAGGAGCGGCUGGGGCUGCAGGGCUCACCUGAGCAGGGCAACAAAGCGCGGGUCACGGGCCAAGCUGGCAUCCAGUGUAAGAGAGAGGAAGGCUGGGCUUACCGCCCCGAUGGCUUCCCGCAGCCCCAGCUGCAGCUCUGCCGUCUGCCUCGGCGGCACAGAGAGCAACAGCAACAGCAGCAGCAGCACCAGCAUCCUUCCUUCUCCUCCUCCUCCUCCUCCUCACCUUCCUCCUCCUCCGGGCCGCGCCACCGCCCCAGCACCACCCCUGGAGGGCGGGCAACCCCAGCACCGCCCCGCAGCCGCCCGCUCCCAGUUUUCCCGAUAUGAAGUCACCCUCCAUGAGAACGAGACCAACCAGAUCGCAUCGGCGCUGCCGUUCGGAAACACACCCACGGCUCUGCCGGAGCGGAAGCAUCAGCGACACUCCCCAUAGCACCACGAUCACCAGGAUGCUUCCAAUUCUGGGCUAUGGCACGUGUCUACCCUUUGCGGGGUGAGCUGCAGCAGCUCCUUCAUCCACCCCACGGGUGUUGCAGCAGCCACCCAGCCCUGCGACCGGGAUGCUACAUCUGGGAUACAGUCCACAGACAGUAGAUGGUGGGAACGAUGGGUCUGGUGCUUGCUGGCACUUGGGGAGCGUGCAGCCUCUUGCAGCUGCAGAGUAGCACUACAUUAUCAUUACAUAGCAAUUAGCAUCACUUAUUGGGGCAUAUAAACAUCCUGCAAGCAAAGGGAGAUGAAUACAGAAGCGUUUGUCACCCAUAGAAGUACAAGCAGAGUGCUUCACUGGGAGCUACAGAGCAAGGGCAAGAGGGCCAGGACAUGCCUAAAAACUCCUUCUUAGCACUGAUGCUCCACACUGGCCUCAUCCCACUGCCACCACACAGCCCUGCUGCUCCCCAGCCAGCGGUGCCAAUGGCAGGCACACAGCAGGAGCUUAUAGCAACAGCUUAUAGCUUUCUGGGAAUGUCUGCAGCCCAACCACGGAAGUGCUGAGCUAUCACCAGCAGCAGCACCCCUGUUCUUCCUGAGCAACAACCAGCUGACUUGUAUUUAUGUGUGCAAAGGGAACACAGAAGGGAAGAAUAAACAGUGCAAAAGGCCAAACGGCUCUUGUGGCAUCACAGCAUUUAUGCAGACCAACAGAACUGGCCGUGUCGGAUUAGUGUAUAAAAGAAACCUCACUGAAAUAAAACUCAGUUGCAAAAGUAGAUUAUGUACCUAAAAUGAGGCUUCUUAAAUAAUUAAAACCACAGGCUGUGCUUCUCAAAGGCCUCCUGCAUCA